CCGAGGUACUGUUUCCUUCAAUUUCCAACCUGGCCUUUUUGGCUUUCUUUUUACGUUCGGCCUUCUUCCUUUUACGCUCUCCUUCUCCUAGAACUUUCAGAAUCAUUUUGGGUGUUGUUUCCAGAAUUAAGGUCUCCAGAAGUAUCCGAUUCCCCCUGAGAGGAUUCAACAUCAGGGGGAACAUCUUCCUUGUCGGAACUUUCAUCAUCAGAGGCUCGAGACAUCAAGGCAGAGGAAUCUCAUAAAUCAGCAUUCCUAUCUUGUCCAUAUAAAGGGUGGAAACAUUACUUCCCAUCUGAAGGUAUCAACAACCUUAGAGAAUUGACACAUACAUGUAACAACAACCGAGAAACAAUUAAUCCAUUGUGAAAUUGCAAACAAUCCAAUUGAAAGCAAAUUCAGGAAGCAAGUUUAGAAAUCCCAAGUCAAGUGGAGAAACAAGACAAAGAUUCAACAUUAAAUGUAGAUAAACUUGAUGCUGCCAUUAAAGCAUGUGGAGAUCAAGUGAUUUAUUUGAAAGUAAAGAAAGCUGACAAGGUACGAUACAUGGAAAAAGAGAGAAGGUAACAGAAAGACACAGACAUUUUUUAAACACAUACACAAACACACACAUAUAUAGGCACUGUAAUCUGAAUUUUUCGACUCUCUUUUCUAGAAUUUCUCCUCCUUUUCUCUUUCCCAUAGCCAUUUACUCGUCGUCAUCCUCGUCGAGGCUGCAAUCCGAAAAAGCGCUCGACAGGUCGCUGUCCUCGUCCGAGUUUGCCUCCAAGUUUGCCUCCAAAGCCAACUUGGCCUUUUUGGCUUCCUUGAUUCUCCAGAAACAUCACUGGUGUCGUUUCCAGACUCAACAUCAGGGUCUCCACAAGAAUACAGGAUUCCACAACGGGGGUAUCUUCCUUGUCAGAAUCUUCAUCAUCUGAGGCUAUUUUAUCCUCUGAUGUGCCCUCCCCAUCUUUUUAAAUUUUUCGCAUGGUUGGGGGUUCCGCUGGUGAAGAGAUCUGGUGAACACUGACCAGAUUUGUCCAUUGCUGAUGGGCUUAGCUGAGCCCUUUCUUCAAAACGUUGAUUCAGCUUUG